rnacentral:rRNA from 1 species
AUUGAACGCUGGCGGCGUGCUUAACACAUGCAAGUCGAUCGGUAACAGGUGUAGCAAUACAUGCUGACGAGAGGCGGACGGGUGAGGAACGCUUGGGAAUCUGCCUAUCAGCGGGGGACAACCCGGGGAAACCCGGGCUAAUACCGCAUACGCUCUACGGAGGAAAGCCGGGGACCGCAAGGCCUGGCACUGAUAGAUGAGCCCAAGUCGGAUUAGCUAGUUGACGGGGUAACGGCCCACCAAGGCGACGAUCCGUAGCUGGUCUGAGAGGACGAUCAGCCACACCGGAACUGAGACACGGUCCGGACUCCUACGGGAGGCAGCAGUGGGGAAUAUUGGACAAUGGGCGAAAGCCUGAUCCAGCGACGCCGCGUGGGUGAAGAAGGCCUGCGGGUUGUAAAGCCCUUUCGGUAGGGACGAAAGCUCUCGACCUAACACGUCGGGAGGUUGACUUAACCUACAAAAGAAGCACCGGCUAACUCUGUGCCAGCCGCCGCAGUAACAC